ACUAAGCGUACACGGUGGAUGCCCUGGCAGUCAGAGGCGAUGAAGGACGUGCUAAUCUGCGAAAAGCGCCGGCGAGGUGAUAUGAACCUUUGACCCGGCGAUGUCCGAAUGGGGAAACCCAGUGCAAUUCGUUGCACUAUCGUUAACUGAAUACAUAGGUUAACGAGGCGAACCGGGGGAACUGAAACAUCUAAGUACCCCGAGGAAAAGAAAUCAACCGAGAUUCCCCCAGUAGCGGCGAGCGAACGGGGAGCAGCCCGGAGUCUGAAUCAGCUUGUGUGUUAGUGGAACGGUCUGGAAAGUCCGACGGUACAGGGUGAUAGUCCCGUACACGAAAGCACACUUGCUGUGAACUCGAAGAGUAGGGCGGGACACGUGGUAUCCUGUCUGAAUAUGGGGGGACCAUCCUCCAAGGCUAAAUACUCCUGACUGACCGAUAGUGAACCAGUACCGUGAGGGAAAGGCGAAAAGAACCCCGGCGAGGGGAGUGAAAAAGAACCUGAAACCGUGUACGUACAAGCAGUGGGAGCCUCUUUAUGGGGUGACUGCGUACCUUUUGUAUAAUGGGUCAGCGACUUAUAUUCUGUAGCAAGGUUAACCGUAUAGGGGAGCCGAAGGGAAACCGAGUCUUAACUGGGCGUUAAGUUGCAGGGUAUAGACCCGAAACCCGGUGAUCUAGCCAUGGGCAGGUUGAAGGUUGGGUAACACUAACUGGAGGACCGAACCGACUAAUGUUGAAAAAUUAGCGGAUGACCUGUGGCUGGGGGUGAAAGGCCAAUCAAACCGGGAGAUAGCUGGUUCUCCCCGAAAGCUAUUUAGGUAGCGCCUCGUGAACUCAUCUUCGGGGGUAGAGCACUGUUUCGGCUAGGGGGCCAUCCCGGCUUACCAACCCGAUGCAAACUACGAAUACCGAAGAAUGUUAUCACGGGAGACACACGGCGGGUGCUAACGUCCGUCGUGAAGAGGGAAACAACCCAGACCGCCAGCUAAGGUCCCAAAGUCAUGGUUAAGUGGGAAACGAUGUGGGAAGGCACAGACAGCCAGGAUGUUGGCUUAGAAGCAGCCAUCAUUUAAAGAAAGCGUAAUAGCUCACUGGUCGAGUCGGCCUGCGCGGAAGAUGUAACGGGGCUAAACCAUGCACCGAAGCUGCGGCAGCGACGCUUAGGCGUUGUUGGGUAGGGGAGCGUUCUGUAAGCCGUUGAAGGUGUCCUGUGAGGGGUGCUGGAGGUAUCAGAAGUGCGAAUGCUGACAUAAGUAACGAUAAAGCGGGUGAAAAGCCCGCUCGCCGGAAGACCAAGGGUUCCUGUCCAACGUUAAUCGGGGCAGGGUGAGUCGACCCCUAAGGCGAGGCCGAAAGGCGUAGUCGAUGGGAAACAGGUUAAUAUUCCUGUACUUGGUGUUACUGCGAAGGGGGGACGGAGAAGGCUAUGUCAGCCGGGCGACGGUUGUCCCGGUUUAAGCAUGUAGGCGGAGGUUCCAGGUAAAUCCGGUACCUUAUUAACGCUGAGGUGUGAUGACGAGGCACUACGGUGCUGAAGUGAUAAAUGCCCUGCUUCCAGGAAAAGCCUCUAAGCAUCAGGUAACACGAAAUCGUACCCCAAACCGACACAGGUGGUCAGGUAGAGAAUACCAAGGCGCUUGAGAGAACUCGGGUGAAGGAACUAGGCAAAAUGGUGCCGUAACUUCGGGAGAAGGCACGCUGAUAUGUAGGUGAAGUCCCUGCGGACGGAGCUGAAAUCAGUCGAAGAUACCAGCUGGCUGCAACUGUUUAUUAAAAACACAGCACUGUGCAAACACGAAAGUGGACGUAUACGGUGUGACGCCUGCCCGGUGCCGGAAGGUUAAUUGAUGGGGUUAGCGGCAACGCGAAGCUCUUGAUCGAAGCCCCGGUAAACGGCGGCCGUAACUAUAACGGUCCUAAGGUAGCGAAAUUCCUUGUCGGGUAAGUUCCGACCUGCACGAAUGGCGUAAUGAUGGCCAGGCUGUCUCCACCCGAGACUCAGUGAAAUUGAACUCGCUGUGAAGAUGCAGUGUACCCGCGGCAAGACGGAAAGACCCCGUGAACCUUUACUAUAGCUUGACACUGAACACUGGUCCUUGAUGUGUAGGAUAGGUGGGAGGCUUUGAAGCGUGGACGCCAGUCUGCGUGGAGCCAACCUUGAAAUACCACCCUUUAAUGGCUGGUGUUCUAACGUAGACCCGUAAUCCGGGUUGCGGACAGUGUCUGGUGGGUAGUUUGACUGGGGCGGUCUCCUCCCAAAGAGUAACGGAGGAGCACGAAGGUUGGCUAAUCCUGGUCGGACAUCAGGAGGUUAGUGCAAUGGCAUAAGCCAGCUUGACUGCGAGCGUGACGGCGCGAGCAGGUGCGAAAGCAGGUCAUAGUGAUCCGGUGGUUCUGAAUGGAAGGGCCAUCGCUCAACGGAUAAAAGGUACUCCGGGGAUAACAGGCUGAUACCGCCCAAGAGUUCAUAUCGACGGCGGUGUUUGGCACCUCGAUGUCGGCUCAUCACAUCCUGGGGCUGAAGUAGGUCCCAAGGGUAUGGCUGUUCGCCAUUUAAAGUGGUACGCGAGCUGGGUUUAGAACGUCGUGAGACAGUUCGGUCCCUAUCUGCCGUGGGCGCUGGAGAAUUGAGGGGGGCUGCUCCUAGUACGAGAGGACCGGAGUGGACGCAUCACUGGUGUUCGGGUUGUCAUGCCAAUGGCACUGCCCGGUAGCUAAAUGCGGAAAAGAUAAGUGCUGAAAGCAUCUAAGCACGAAACUUGCCCCGAGAUGAGUUCUCCCUGAGACCUUGAGUCUCCUGAAGGAACGUUGAAGACGACGACGUUGAUAGGUCGGGUGUGUAAGCGCAGCGAUGCGUUGAGCUAACCGAUACUAAUGAACCGUGAGGCUUAACC
rnacentral:rRNA from 1 species